rnacentral:rRNA from 1 species
UCCAGACUCCUACGGGAGGCAGCAGUGAGGAAUAUUGGUCAAUGGACGGAAGUCUGAACCAGCCAUGCCGCGUGCAGGAAGACGGCUCUAUGAGUUGUAAACUGCUUUUGUACAAGGGUAAACCUGAAUACGUGUAUUCAGCUGAAAGUACUGUACGAAUAAGGAUCGGCUAACUCCGUGCCAGCAGCCGCGGUAAUACGUAGGUGGCAAGCGUUGUCCGGAUUUACUGGGUGUAAAGGGCGUGCAGCCGGAGAGACAAGUCAGAUGUGAAAUCCACGGGCUCAACCCGUGAACUGCAUUUGAAACUGUUUCCCUUGAGUGUCGGAGAGGUAAUCGGAAUUCCUUGUGUAGCGGUGAAAUGCGUAGAUAUAAGGAAGAACACCAGCGGCGAAGGCGGAUUACUGGACGAUAACUGACGGUGAGGCGCGAAAGCGUGGGGAGCAAACAGGAUUAGAUACCCGCGUAC